AUUGAACGCUGGCGGCAUGCCUUACACAUGCAAGUCGAACGGCAGCACGGGUGCUUGCACCUGGUGGCGAGUGGCGAACGGGUGAGUAAUACAUCGGAACAUGUCCUGUAGUGGGGGAUAGCCCGGCGAAAGCCGGAUUAAUACCGCAUACGAUCUACGGAUGAAAGCGGGGGACCUUCGGGCCUCGCGCUAUAGGGUUGGCCGAUGGCUGAUUAGCUAGUUGGUGGGGUAAAGGCCUACCAAGGCGACGAUCAGUAGCUGGUCUGAGAGGACGACCAGCCACACGGGAACUGAGACACGGCCCAGACUCCUACGGGAGGCAGCAGUGGGGAAUUUUGGACAAUGGGCGAAAGCCUGAUCCAGCAAUGCCGCGUGUGUGAAGAAGGCCUUCGGGUUGUAAAGCACUUUUGUCCGGAAAGAAAUCCUUGGCCCUAAUACGGUCGGGGGAUGACGGUACCGGAAGAAUAAGCACCGGCUAACUACGUG
rnacentral:rRNA from 1 species